CGAUUAAGCCAUGCGAGUCGAGAGGUGCAAGACCUCGGCAUACUGCUCAGUAACACGUGGACAAUCUACCCUAUGGAAGGGGAUAACCCCGGGAAACUGGGGAUAAUACCCUAUAGACUAUGGAUGCUGGAAUGCUUUGUAGUCGAAAGGUCCGCCGCCAUAGGAUGGGUCUGCGGCCGAUUAGGUUGUUGUUGGGGUAACGGCCCAACAAGCCUGUAAUCGGUACGGGUUGUGGGAGCAAGAGCCCGGAGAUGGAUUCUGAGACACGAAUCCAGGCCCUACGGGGCGCAGCAGGCGCGAAAACUUUGCAAUGCGGGAAACCGUGACAGGGGAACUCCGAGUGCCCGUAAAAUCGGGCUGUCCAUCAGUUUAAAUAACUGGUGAAGAAAGGGCCGGGCAAGACCGGUGCCAGCCGCCGCGGUAAUACCGGCGGCUCGAGUGGUGGCCACUAUUACUGGGCUUAAAGCGUUCGUAGCUGGUUUGUUAAGUCUCUGGGGAAAUCUU
rnacentral:rRNA from 1 species